AGAGUUUGAUCAUGGCUCAGAUUGAACGCUGGCGGCAGGCCUAACACAUGCAAGUCGAACGGUAACAGGAAGCAGCUUGNGCUGCUUUGCUGACGAGUGGCGGACGGGUGAGUAAUGUCUGGGAAACUGCCUGAUGGAGGGGGAUAACUACUGGAAACGGUGGCUAAUACCGCAUAACGUCGCAAGACCAAAGAGGGGGACCUUCGGGCCUCUUGCCAUCAGAUGUGCCCAGAUGGGAUUAGCUUGUUGGUGAGGUAACGGCUCACCAAGGCGACGAUCCCUAGCUGGUCUGAGAGGAUGACCAGCCACACUGGAACUGAGACACGGUCCAGACUCCUACGGGAGGCAGCAGUGGGGAAUAUUGCACAAUGGGCGCAAGCCUGAUGCAGCCAUGCCGCGUGUAUGAAGAAGGCCUUCGGGUUGUAAAGUACUUUCAGCGGGGAGGAAGGUGUUGUGGUUAAUAACCGCAGCAAUUGACGUUACCCGCAGAAGAAGCACCGGCUAACUCCGUGCCAGCAGCCGCGGUAAUACGGAGGGUGCAAGCGUUAAUCGGAAUUACUGGGCGUAAAGCGCACGCAGGCGGUCUGUCAAGUCGGAUGUGAAAUCCCCGGGCUCAACCUGGGAACUGCAUUCGAAACUGGCAGGCUUGAGUCUUGUAGAGGGGGGUAGAAUUCCAGGUGUAGCGGUGAAAUGCGUAGAGAUCUGGAGGAAUACCGGUGGCGAAGGCGGCCCCCUGGACAAAGACUGACGCUCAGGUGCGAAAGCGUGGGGAGCAAACAGGAUUAGAUACCCUGGUAGUCCACGCCGUAAACGAUGUCUACUUGGAGGUUGUGCCCUUGAGGCGUGGCUUCCGGAGCUAACGCGUUAAGUAGACCGCCUGGGGAGUACGGCCGCAAGGUUAAAACUCAAAUGAAUUGACGGGGGCCCGCACAAGCGGUGGAGCAUGUGGUUUAAUUCGAUGCAACGCGAAGAACCUUACCUGGUCUUGACAUCCACAGAACUUUCCAGAGAUGGAUUGGUGCCUUCGGGAACUGUGAGACAGGUGCUGCAUGGCUGUCGUCAGCUCGUGUUGUGAAAUGUUGGGUUAAGUCCCGCAACGAGCGCAACCCUUAUCCUUUGUUGCCAGCGGUCCGGCCGGGAACUCAAAGGAGACUGCCAGUGAUAAACUGGAGGAAGGUGGGGAUGACGUCAAGUCAUCAUGGCCCUUACGACCAGGGCUACACACGUGCUACAAUGGCGCAUACAAAGAGAAGCGACCUCGCGAGAGUAAGCGGACCUCAUAAAGUGCGUCGUAGUCCGGAUUGGAGUCUGCAACUCGACUCCAUGAAGUCGGAAUCGCUAGUAAUCGUGGAUCAGAAUGCCACGGUGAAUACGUUCCCGGGCCUUGUACACACCGCCCGUCACACCAUGGGAGUGGGUUGCAAAAGAAGUAGGUAGCUUAACCUUCGGGGGGGCGCUUACCACUUUGUGAUUCAUGACUGGGGUGAAGUCGUAACAAGGUAACCGUAGGGGAACCUGCGGUUG
rnacentral:rRNA from 1 species